rnacentral:rRNA from 1 species
UUGCUGUCACUUAUAGAUGGAUCCCCGCCGCAUUAGCUAGUUGGUAAGGUAACGGCUUACCAAGGCAACGAUGCGUAGCCGACCUGAGAGGGUGAUCGGCCACACUGGAACUGAGACACGGUCCAGACUCCUACGGGAGGCAGCAGUAGGGAAUCUUCCGCAGUGGGCGAAAGCCUGACGGAGCAACCCCGCGUGAGUGAAAAAGGUCUUCAGAUCGUAAAACUCUGUUAUUAGGGAAGAACAAAUGUGUAAGUAACUAUGCACGUCUUGACGGUACCUAAUCAAAAAGCCACGGCUAACUACGUGCCAGCAGCCGCGGUAAUACGUAGGUGGCAAGCGUUAUCCGGAAUUAUUGGGCGUAAAGCGCGCGUAGGCGGUUUUUUAAGUCUGAUGUGAAAGCCCACGGCUCAACCGUGGAGGGUCAUUGGAAACUGGAAAACUUGAGUGCAGAAGAGGAAAGUGGAAUUCCGUGUGUAGCGGUGAAAUGCGCAGAGAUAUGGAGGAACACCAGUGGCGAAGGCGACUUUCUGGUCUGUAACUGACGCUGAUGUGCGAAAGCGUGGGGAUCAAACAGGAUUAGAUACCCUGGUAGUCCACGCCGUAAACGAUGAGUGCUAAGUGUUAGGGGGUUUCCGCCCCUUAGUGCUGCAGCUAACGCAUUAAGCACUCCCCCUGGGGAGUACGACCGCAGGGUUGAAACUCAAAUGAAUUGACGGA